GACGAACGCUGGCGGCGUGCUUAACACAUGCAAGUCGAACGGAAAGGCCCUGCUUUUGUGGGGUGCUCGAGUGGCGAACGGGUGAGUAACACGUGAGUAACCUGCCCUUGACUUUGGGAUAACUUCAGGAAACUGGGGCUAAUACCGGAUAGGAGCUCCUGCUGCAUGGUGGGGGUUGGAAAGUUUCGGCGGUUGGGGAUGGACUCGCGGCUUAUCAGCUUGUUGGUGGGGUAGUGGCUUACCAAGGCUUUGACGGGUAGCCGGCCUGAGAGGGUGACCGGCAACAUGGGGACUGAGAUACGGCCCAGACUCCUACGGGAGGCAGCAGUGGGGAAUAUUGCACAAUGGGCGGAAGCCUGAUGCAGCAACGCCGCGUGCGGGAUGACGGCCUUCGGGUUGUAAACCGCUUUCGCCUGUGACGAAGCGUGAGUGACGGGAAUGGGUAAAGAAGCACCGGCUAACUACGU
rnacentral:rRNA from 1 species